rnacentral:rRNA from 1 species
UUUAAAGUCUAAUCUGCCCUAUGAGGAUUUAAAUGGCCGCGGUAUUUUGACCGUGCAAAGGUAGCAUAAUAAUUAGUUUUUUAAUUGAAAGCUAGAAUGAAUGAUUGAACGAGAAAAUGACUGUCUCAAUUUAAUUUUUUUUUGAAUUUUAUUUUUAAGUAAAAAAGCUUAAAUUUUAUUAAAAGACGAGAAGACCCUAUAGAGUUUUAUAAUUAAUUAAUUGUUAGUUUUUAAGUAUUAUUUUAUUAAAAAUUUUUUAAUUAUUUUAUUGGGGUGAUAGAGAAAUAUUAUUAACUUUUUUUGAAUUAAAACAUUAAUGUAUGAUUUUUUGAUCCAUUAUUUAUGAUUAUAAGAUUAAGUUACCUUAGGGAUAACAGCGUAAUUUUUUUUUAGAGUUCUUAUCGAAAGAAAAGAUUGCGACCUCGAUGUUGGAUUAAAAUAAAUAUUAGGUGUAGAAGCUUAAUUAUUAGGUCUGUUCGACCUUUGAAAUUUUACA